rnacentral:rRNA from 1 species
GUCCACGCCCUAAACGAUGCCAACUAGGUGUUGGGGAGGAGACUUCCUUAGUACCGUAGCUAACGCGUGAAGUUGGCCGCCUGGGGAGUACGGUCGCAAGAUUAAAACUCAAAGGAAUUGACGGGGACCCGCACAAGCGGUGGAUGAUGUGGAUUAAUUCGAUGCAACGCGAAAAACCUUACCUACCCUUGACAUGUCCGGAAUCCUGAAAGAGAUUUGGGAGUGCUCGAAAGAGACCGGAACACAGGUGCUGCAUGGCUGUCGU